rnacentral:rRNA from 1 species
GAUGAACGCUGGCGGCGUGCCUAAUACAUGCAAGUCGAACGAAACUUCUUUAUCCUCGCGUGUUUGCUCUCACCGAUAGACAGUUGAGUGACGAACGGGUGACUAACCUGUGGGCCACCUACCCAUAAGAGGGGGAUAACCCUUUGAAACAGGUUCUAAUACCGCAUAAGCAUCGAUACUGCAUGGCAACCUUGCAAAAGCUGAGUGUUGUAUCGCUUCUGGAUGGGCUCGUGGCGCAUUAGCUAGUUGGUAGGGUAAAGGCUUACCAAGGCACUGAUGCGUAGCCGAACUGAGAGGGUGAUCGGCCACAUUGGAACUGAGACACGGCCCAGACUCCUACGGGAGGCAGCAGUAGGGAAUCUUCCACAAUGGGCGAAAGCCUGAUGGAGCAACGCCGCGUGGGUGAAGAAGGUCUUCGGAUCGUAAAACCCUGUUGUUAGAGAAGAAAGUGCGUGUGAGUAACUGUUCACGUUUUGACGGUACCUAACCAGAAAGCCACGGCUAACUACGUG